AGCAUUGUUUUAAUGCUUUGAUGAAGCUCAGCACGCUGCCGAAAUCUCGGCAGUAUUUUUUCUUUUCUUUUUGCAUGUGAGAGAAAGGACAACAAAUUGCAGUUUUAUCCAUUUGUAUUAUUUCUUUAGAAAACUCAACACUCUUUUUGUUGGAGGUGGGGAAAUGAGAAGGUCUUUGUGGGAAGAAACAAAUCACAAAAGCAAUUAAGAGAGCUCAAACAAUGGACAGCAAGACCCCCCGCAAGACAGCAAGACCCAACUCUCUUCUUUCUCUUCCUCCUCAUCCUACUCAACAUGAAGAUGACAAGGAUGAAGACCUUCAUG
rnacentral:lncRNA from 1 species